UAUUUAUACGUAGCAUAUAGAUCUCCCUUUAUCCGGCAUAAUUUUUUUUUUUUGGUUUUUUCCCCCUUUUCCCAAGAGCUUUAUGAUUUUAUGAGGAAUACUACGAGUAAAUCGGAAUAAAUCUGAUUGCCUGACGGACCGGCAACGUUCCCGAAGAGAAACCGAAAGGCACACAUCACAAAUACACGAGUCAUUCUGUGGAUUCGACGUAACCACACAUUUAGUUGGCAGAUGGUUGGUUGCUUUGUCGACUACGCAGUUACAGCUUACAACAUACUAGUUAGUACAGGCCCCAUAACUACCAGGAUACCCAGUGGCUAGUAAAGAAAUAGCAGGCCUAGUUAAGUGGCGGCCUGCGAGUGUGAGGCUGGCCCGUACAUACAUGUGCCCCAGAAUCCGAGAGGCAAGUCCGAGGCCCGGGGAAGACAGGCUAACGUCGCUAGCCCCAUCGUCGGCCUCAUCUCUGGGAUCUGUGCUCUCUCUCUCUCUUGCUGCUCUUUACGGAGUACUAUUUUGUACGUGCGAGUAUUGUCUGGAUUCUAGUUCGGGUUGUGGUCUGUGACCAGCGCAGAGUGAUACAACUGGCAAACAAAUCACUGUGCGACCUUUAAAUCAGAAGUUCUCGGGUAGAGAGGGGAACACGUAUUCGGGUACUUGAGACUGUGUUGUGGAACAUGUGAGCCGUGUGCGAAGCCAGGGAGAAAAAGCAAUACCGUAAGCGUGCAUGUAUGUGCCUCUGAUGAAAAGAAGCAAAGCAACCACUAUGAAGCUCGAAGCCGAUAAUCCCCCGACGUUCCACCAUACAUAUGCACUAGUUAGAUAGUACUAGAUACAGACUAACUUAUAUGAUGCGCAGCUUGAUUGAUAAUAAAGAAGGUGAGGAGUACACUGCUACCUCAUGCCUCCGCGAUCAAAACGGAAGAGAGAGAGACGGGUCAACCCCACAAAUUCUCCAGCCAAUCAGCAACCACGGUAAAUUACCGUAAAUGACCAGGCACGGAGACUCCACUUAUUAGCCAGCCAAUAGAGUCCC
rnacentral:lncRNA from 1 species